rnacentral:rRNA from 1 species
ACGGGUGAGUAAUGCGUAGGAAUCUAUCUUGUAGAGUGGGACAACCUAGGGAAACUUAGGCUAAUACCACGUAAGCCCGAAAGGGGAAAGCAGGGGACCGUAAGGCCUUGCGCUAUAAGGUGAGCCUACGUCGGAUUAGCUAGUUGGUGGGGUAAAGGCCUACCAAGGCUACGAUCCGUAGCUGGUCUGAGAGGGCGACCAGCCACACUGGGACUGAGACACGGCCCAGACUCCUACGGGAGGCAGCAGUGGGGAAUCUUGGACAAUGGGCGAAAGCCUGAUCCAGCAAUGCCGCGUGUGUGAAGAAGGCCUUCGGGUUGUAAAGCACUUUCGGUGGGGAGGAAGAGUCGUUUGUGAAUAACAGGCGACGAAGACGUUACCCACAAAAGAAGCACCGGCCAACUCUGUGCCAGCAGCCGCGGUAAUACAGAGGGUGCAAGCGUUAAUCGGAAUUACUGGGCGUAAAGGGUGCGUAGGCGGUGAUAUAAGUUGGAUGUGAAAGACUCGAGCUUAACUUGGGGGUUGCAUUCAAGACUGUAUUACUAGAGUACUGUAGAGGAAGGCGGAAUUUCCGGUGUAGCG